CCCGCUGAACUUAAGCAUAUCAAUAAGCGGAGGAAAAGAGACUAACGAGGAUUCCCCUAGUAACUGCGAGUGAACAUGGAUUAGCCCAACAUCGAAACCUGCGGUUAAUUGAUCGUGAGGUAAUGUGGUUUUUAGUUUGGCUUCAGGCAUUACUGCUCUACCCCAGGUCCAGCAAUGAGUACGACUAGUUGUGAUAAUUAUAAUUAUAAUUAAUGGUUGAAUCAAUGUUACGUAAUAGGAAAUAAGUGAAUGAUU
rnacentral:ncRNA from 1 species